UACAGAGGGGGCAAGCGUUGUUCGGAAUUACUGGGCGUAAAGGGCGCGUAGGCGGCCUUCUAAGUCGAACGUGAAAUCCCCGGGCUCAACCCGGGAACCGCGUCCGAUACUGGAAGGCUUGAAUCCGGGAGAGGGAUGCGGAAUUCCAGGUGUAGCGGUGAAAUGCGUAGAUAUCUGGAGGAACACCGGUGGCGAAGGCGGCAUCCUGGACCGGCAUUGACGCUGAGGCGCGAAAGCCAGGGGAGCCAAAGCGGG
rnacentral:rRNA from 1 species